CAAGUCGAGGGGCAGCAUUUCUAGCUUGCUAGAAGAUGGCGACCGGCGCACGGGUGAGUAACGCGUAUGCAACCUACCUUAUACUGGGGGAUAGCCCAGAGAAAUCUGGAUUAAUACCGCAUAACAAUGUUUUGUCGCAUGGCAGAAUAUUUAAAACUCCGGUGGUAUAAGAUGGGCAUGCGUAGCAUUAGUUAGUUGGUGAGGUAACGGCUCACCAAGACGAUGAUGCUUAGGGGGUCUGAGAGGAUAGUCCCCCACACUGGUACUGAGACACGGACCAGACUCCUACGGGAGGCAGCAGUGAGGAAUAUUGGUCAAUGGGCGCAAGUCUGAACCAGCCAUGUCGCGUGCAGGAUGACGGCCCUAUGGGUUGUAAACUGCUUUUUUUACGGAAUAAUUGUCUCUACGUGUAGAGAUUUGAAUGUACUGUAUGAAUAAGGAUCGGCUAACUCCGUGCCCAGCAGCCGCGGUAAUACGGAGGAUCCAAGCGUUAUCCGGAUUUAUUAGGUUUAAAGGGUCCGCAGGCGGGCUUUUAAGUCAGUGGUGAAAUCCUACAGCUUAACUGUAGAACUGCCAUUGAUACUGUUGUUCUUGAGUACAGUUGAGGUAGGCGGAAUGUGUAGUGUAGCGGUGAAAUGCAUAGAUAUUACACAGAACACCAAUUGCGAAGGCAGCUUACUAAACUAUAACUGACGCUGAUGCACGAAAGCGUGGGUAGCGAACAGGAUUAGAUACCCUUGGUAGUCCGCGCCGUAAACGAUGAUUACUCGUUGUGCACAAUACACCGUGCGUGACCGAGCGAAAGCAUUAAGUAAUCCACCUGGGGAGUACGUUGGCAACAAUGAAACUCAAAGGAAUUGACGGGGGCCCGCACAAGCGGAGGAACAUGUGGUUUAAUUCGAUGAUACGCGAGGAACCUUACCUGGACUUAAAUGCAGAUUGACCGGCUUAGAAAUAGGUCUUCUCUUCGGAGCAAUCUACAAGGUGCUGCAUGGUUGUCGUCAGCUCGUGCCGUGAGGUGUCGGGUUAAGUCCCAUAACGAGCGCAACCCCUAUCGUUAGUUGCUAGCAGGUAAUGCUGAGGACUCUAACGAAACUGCCGGUGUAAACCGAGAGGAAGGUGGGGAUGACGUCAAAUCAGCACGGCCCUUAUGUCCAGGGCUACACACGUGUUACAAUGGCCAGUACAAUGGGCAGCUACCAGGUGACUGGAUGCUAAUCUCCAAAGCUGGUCUCAGUUCGGAUCGAAGUCUGCAACUCGACUUCGUGAAGUUGGAUUCGCUAGUAAUCGUAUAUCAGCAAUGAUACGGUGAAUACGUUCCCGGGCCUUGUACACACCGCCCGUCAAACCAUGGAAGCCGGGGGUGCCUGAAGUACGUUACCGUAAGGAGCG
rnacentral:rRNA from 1 species